UGUGUAUGUGUGUGUCAAUAAGACAACCGUCGACAGAAUGUGCGCUCAGUGAGGUCGCUUCUACAAAAACACCCGAUCACCAAAAAAGGAUAAAUAAGCAGCAAGGGGAAGGAAAAUGUCGGCGAUCGAUUUUUCCACCCGGUGGUAGUGCCAAAACAUUGGCGCGCUCGGGUGUGUGUCUCUCUCUGUGCCGAGAGCGUCGGAGCCUGCUCGAAGCAAUUUCGAUCGUUCUGGGCAAAACGAAAACACCACCAGCCAGAGGAGCAGUGUGAGAAUGCGAUUAUUAUUGCGAUUUUGCUCACAAAAACAAUUCAGGGAGCGUGAAAAUUCUAUUUAAUUGCGCGAUAUGGUAGUAGGGAAGCUGUGAGCAUUUCUUUCCGUAAACAACGGGUUUCGACACUGGCCGGGGUGUCCACCUUUAGGGUUCGGGUCGGAGCCAAACAAAACCCCAUUGUUGAUACGCAGGCUCGCGGCCGUACGGAAACCGAUUCUUGCCAAAAAAGGACUCGCCACUGACAACGGCGUGUAUUACGGAGUGUUUUCGCUUUAGAGUGUGAGCGUGUGUGUGUGUGGAAGGAGAGGGGCGGCGGUGUGGUGUUGUAAGAUGGAUGUCGACUCGCCCAAUGCCCUUAAACGUUGCUCCAGUGCACCACAGAUAAACAAUCUGCUCUCUAGCACCGCCGCCAUCGUCGGGGUGCAGCCGAUGGAAGAAGGACAAUCGCAACCCGUACCAAGCACUAGCGGAAACAACAACAACAACAACAACAACAACGACAACAACGGCAACGACAGUAACAACAGCACCAUCACCAUUGGCCGGAUCAACAGCACCGAUCACAGCGGCCCAGCGCAACAGCAGCACCUGCAGCAGGUAGGACUGCUGGCGGAAGGACACAUGAUGGAACCACUGCACGCAGGUAGCGGUGGCAGCAGUGGCACAGUCACAGGUGGCAACCUGCUGAACGCAGCCAGCUUCCACGCGGGACCAUCGGGAUCCAGGGAAUCACUUCCGACGUCGUUUUCGAACAUCUUCACGCCCCGGGUGCGACGGUUUUCCGCCAGCUUCAGCCCGCUGGCCGUCAUUUCGAACGGCAGCGCAAGCCCGGGCCGUGGUGGAAGUGGGAGCGGCGCCGGUACGCCCGGUCCCCGCCUCACGCCCCGGAUAUCGCAGCUGCGGCAGGAGGAGUGUGCCGACGUCAGCAACAGCCGGGAGGUGAACCAUGAGCGGGAGAUACACAACGCGAUGCAGAUGUCGCAAAGCUGCGAAGACCUGACGCUGGUGGCGGAGAAUUGGUCCUUUUCGUCGGGCACCGCGCCCGGCAAGAUGGUGAUCGAUGAUCUGCAGAAUCCGCUGCACGUGGCACUGCCCACGAUCGGGUCGACGUGCUGCUCCAGCCCAUCGCCGACGAGCCGUGGCGGGAUUGGGCUGCAGUAUCCGACGACGUCACCGUCGCCGACGCGCAAGUUCGUCACCCGGCGGUCCAUGUCACCGUGCCCGCUGCGGCCCAGCCCGCUCAGCUCGUCGGUGAAGCGGAAGUUCGAUCUGGAGGACAACUAUGGCAACUGUUACUCACCGCCGUCGAAGAAAAUUUUCCCCUCGGAAAGAGGCUCGUCGCCCGUCUGUCAAACGCCAUCAUCGCCCUCACCGAUCUGCCCCAGCCCGGACUCGUCGACGACCUCGUUCGAGAGCGGUAGCAAUAACAACAACAACAACGGUGGCGGCAUCAACAUUCCACUGUGCGGUCCCUUUCCCCUCGCAGCCACCAGCGGCAGUGCGGCGAGCGCGAGUGGUCGAAUAACGCCAAAGUUUUUCCUUGCCCGGCUGUCCGGCAGUGUGCCGAGCCCGGGCGGUGGCGUUGGCUCAACCGUACCGUUCGGUGGUGGCAUGAGUUUCGGGGGAAGCAGCGGCUCGAACAGUGGAUGUUCUACCCCGACUGGCAUCGCCAAUCCGAUCGGAGGGAUGCUUGGGGGUGGAGGCACUGGUGGCAAUGUAAUGAUGGACUGUGGCGUUAGUAGUAGUACCGGUGGCGGGGCCAGUACCGGCACGAUGGAAGUCGUCAGUAGCCAUGAAGACAGAUGCAGGAUGGGGGAGGAAGAGGAGGAAGAGGAACGGCGCUCGAAGGACGCGAAUACCGAUAGCAUUAAGAUGGUCUGUGAUGAAACGAACGAAACGGGUGGCAGUGAUCACCAACACCACCACCACCACCAGCAGCAGCAGCAGCGUCCACGCCGGCUGAUUGGCAUUGGUGGGGCGACCGGGGGACCGAUCAGCAGUGCCGCUUCGCCCCGCGAGUUGAGGGAGCAGCUGCUGAAGUCGGCCCUCGAUCCGGACGCGGCCGGAAGCUGCAACAGCAACAGUAGCAGCAGCAGCAGCACUAGCAGUAGUAGUAAUAGCAGCAGCAGCUCCACCACCACUAGCGAUAGUAACAACAGUGCCAACGCAAUUAACAGUAACCGCACCACGGGCAGUCACGCAGCAGGCCCCAGUGGCAAUGUUCUGGACAGUAGUAGUAGCAGCAGCAGCAGCAGCUCCAGCAGCAGUGGCACCAACACCAGCAGCAUUGAUAAUGCCGGUGCAGCCGCGGUCGCGAACGCUGGUGGUACGGCGACCGGUGCCCUUUGUCCACCGCUGACGUCCUUUCCCAUGCUGGCCAUACCGAGCAAUCUGGCGGAGAUUGCAGAAUCGUGAAGAUAUUGCCCGUACAAAGAUCACACAAACACGUACACACACACACACACAUAAGCACACAUAUUACUGAUUAAUACUGAUCUUUGCGGUUACUAGCGAUAAGGGAAACGGGGAAGGUGAGCCGCUGCGGGGACAAUAAUCAAUAAUCGUUUGCACGAAUGGGAACGAUUUCGAGCGAAGAGAGAUAAAGAGAAGGAGAGAUAGAGAGAGACAGAGAGAGAGGGUAAAUAAGAAGCAAUUUCCAGUAGAAGUUGCACUAAUGUAGAGCCAAGGUUAUCUUACAAUCCGUAGCUCGAACAGCGGUAGAAUUUGCUCUUACAAAAGGCUGCAUUCACGUUACAACCACUACAAGGGGGGGGGGUGUAGGAGAAGAGAAAAACAAGGGUAAACGAUCCUACACCGGGGAGCGGAAAACUGAAAUACUGAAAAAGGCACCCCUUACUUUACCCCGCCACUAAUUACCAGUUACGUUGCUGUUAGCUUUAACUAUUCGGUUCUAUAGGUUGUCCAUCCGGUUGGCACCUAAACUUAAACAGACACACAUACACACAGGGUUUAAACGAUGACGCUUUCGCGCUUGCUUGCUCGUUUACGUUCGCGAGUUCAUUCGUAUUGCACUUUUCUUUUUGGGGGUGACAGGGGAGCGUGACAGUUGUUGAGUUAAAUGCAAGUUCCUCUUAAGCAGUUUAGUUGGUAGUGGUAGUGUAGCGCAGUAGGCUUUGCAGUAGGGGUUGAUUCGCGGAGUGCGUACGAAGUUAGUUAGGACGAACCUACGAAGGGUUCGGAGAAGCAAAAUGGCGAACGUUUGCCUUUAAAGUUGCUGGAAAUAGCUCCGGUACCGGAAGUAGUAGUACGCAAAGUGUCUGUUCCAUGUUCCAACACCGAGAAAACAGAAUCUGAGAGACAUCGAACGUUCUUCGAUUGGUGCACAGGGCGAACCACCAAGUCUACAUGCAGUAUAAUCGGUGUAUUUAUUAGUGCUACAGUGAGCUUGAACACCAAUGACCGGCCAUAGGAAGCAAGGCAGAUAGGAAACAAACGUGUACAUGUCGGUUCCCCGGGGUGGCUCGGUAGCAACACUUGCCAUUCGAAUGAGAUUACAGUCGCCCUGGGGAUGGAGCCGUUACGAUUGAGAGAGAGAGAGAGUGAGAGAAGGAACACAAUUCCACAAAAUAUGUAUGAAGUCAUCGACUAGACGAAAGCAGGUUAAACUAACUGCAAAGCAGUUGCUAUUGUGGUCAUCAUCAUCAUCAUUAUCAACCAGCAUUCUCCAUCUGCAUCAGAAUCAUUGCAGUUGCUGCUGCUGCUGCUUUCGUCCUUGCAAUGGAUUACGCUAGAACAAUCGAGAGCAAAUCGAGAGUAGCAAGCGGUGAAAAAAUAAUGAACAGGAAGCCUCGAAACGGAUGGCAAGCCCACUGUGUGCCACACUAGACGGGGUGAUGUGGUGGAACCGUUCGAACGUUGGGUAAUAGUGCCCGUUGCGCAGUAGAGUGCAGCAGCAGUGUAGAUACAGUUGCGGUCGAAUAAACAAAAGCAU